GACGAACGCUGGCGGCGUGCUUAACACAUGCCAGUCGAACGGAAAGGCCCUGCUUGCAGGGUACUCGAGUGGCGAACGGGUGAGUAACACGUGGGUGAUCUGCCCUGCACUUCGGGGUAAGCCUGGGAAACUGGGUCUAAUACCGGAUAGGAGCCAUUUUUAGUGUGAUGGUUGGAAAGUUUUUUCGGUGUAGGAUGAGCUCGCGGCCUAUCAGCUUGUUGGUGGGGUAAUGGCCUACCAAGGCGGCGACGGGUAGCCGGCCUGAGAGGGUGGACGGCCACAUUGGGACUGAGAUACGGCCCAGACUCCUACGGGAGGCAGCAGUGGGGAAUAUUGCACAAUGGGCGCAAGCCUGAUGCAGCGACGCCGCGUGGGGGAUGACGGCCUUCGGGUUGUAAACUCCUUUCGCUAGGGACGAAGCUUUUUGUGACGGUACCUAGAUAAGAAGCACCGGCUAACUACGUG
rnacentral:rRNA from 1 species